GGCGAAAUGGUGUAGUGGUAAGUGACGUUGCCUGACACGCACACAGUCCGAGGAUCAAACCCUGGUCGUGCGCCA